UCCCGAACGCCUCCCCUCCCUUCCCCCCACGAGCCACGACAGCAGUCUAUCCACACUCCUCUCCUCACGUCUCCAUCCCCACUCAUCUUCCCCCACCCCCUGAUUUCUCCACGGAGCACAAACUCCGGCGAGGUCGGCGGCUAGCCACCGGGUCCGACCGAUUCACGGCGAACUGGCGCUGGGCCGCGGGAGGCGGAGGCGCGUAGGGGAUGGAUCUGGAUGCAACUGCUCUCGCCGGUCGCGGCCCGUGCUCGCGCUCGCCGUCGCCGAUGGGGAGCGCCUCGCGUGUGGCGGAGGGGCUUGAGCGCGUGGAUGUCCCUGGCGGUGGCUGCCGAAGUACGAGGUGCGGCUCCCCAUGGCGUUGGCUUCGAGCGCGGCCAUGGCGGCGGCCUCGAGUACGGCACCACACGCGCCAGCUCCUUCUCCGGGGUGUGCUCUGCCUCCUGCGGGGGCGCUGGCGACGCUGCCUCCGACCGGCGCUUCGACCUCAUCUUCGAGGCCAACGGUGCGCGGCGAGCUUGUGCUUCACGGGGCCAACCUCCGCGUCGAGGAGUUGCUCUCCAUGAGCUCCUGCGCCGUCCCACCUUGGCGAGGAGGAGAAGCAGCGUUUGUGCUUGAUGCUGGGAAUAGCAGUGAAAAUGCGCACUCGAUGAGCCUGUGUGCCGGCAUGCAAUUCCUCAAAGUGGAGUUGCAGCAUGGGUGGCGGAGAGUAGAAGCGUGGCCACAACGCUAUCACUAGCUUCAGAUUUUUUUCCUCAGAUAGAUUAACCACACAAAGCAGAAGAAGCAAACCAAAAAAGAUGAUAAGUCUUGUCACCUGGGAAGCAGCUACAUCUUGGGCUGAAAUUCUUCAGAAAGCGCAAGUUGUAAUAUAGUGUACAAAAACCAAAAUAGAAAUGCCUGCGAUUUAUUGGUCAUACUUAUAAGACACCACGAAUUAUAGAUGAUAUCUCUUCCCUAGACUACAACACUCUUGAUGCCAUCGUUCACUUAAGGAAUGCAAAUGCACAUGUAUCCAGGCGUCGGAAGAAAGAUUUUCAAUGUUGGUGACAUACAUCAGUUCUGUCAUCAAACCAAUGGCAGCAAGCAGACCUGCAAUGAGGAGCAAGCUAAGAGAAGCACGGGGAUGCAACAUCAUAGUUGUGAAGAAAUGCUGACAAGAUAACCGAUUGACAAACUAUAUAUUCCUGAGAUGCAAAUCCUGUAAAGAUUGACUGACUACAUAACCAAUUUGUCAUAGAACAAUGAGGCAAGAUGCAUUCUUUGGAUGUACUAUCUGAAAUUUUACAAAGUAACUACAGAACAGAUGACGCAAUGAAGUACAUCUACUAAUCAGAACUACCAAUUCACUACAGGAAUCAGGAAUUUUGUUGUUCGCCAUGGCUGACGGCAAAGGCACGCAUGGCGGACGGCAAAGGCGCGCAUGGCGCCAGCCAGCUGACGGCAACACGUCCGGUUGAACAGGCUACGACAAAGGCUUCUUUGUUGUCUGCUGGCUGACGGAAAGAUACAAAGGUCUUUGCCGUCUGCUAGCCGACGGCAAAGAGUCUGGACGGCACAUGUGUUAGCAUAGGUCCGUUAAGGGGUUAACGGUGUGCUUUACCAUCAGCUGGCGGACGACAAAGACCUUUGCGUAUUUGCCGUCUGCCAGCUGACGGCAAAGAACAUUGAUUGUUUGCCGUCUGCCAACGGAUGACAUAGCAUGCCACAUGGCAGUGCCUGGGGGGCUGGCCUAUUUGGUAGCUUUGCCGUCAGCUGGCUGACAAACAAUCAACAUUCUUUGGAGGUCGUUGGCUGACGGCAAGGCAUCCAAAUAGCCAGCCUACUGCCCCAGGUUGCACAGGUUGCUGACACGUGGCAUAUUUGCCGUCUGCUGGUUGAUGGCAAAGCUCUUUGCCAUCCGCCAACAGACGGCAAAGAGUCUAUAUAGCCCAUGUUUUUCUGUUUUUUUCUUGAAUUCAUUCAAUUUGACAGAAUUUCACACACACACA